rnacentral:rRNA from 1 species
AAAUUUGAAAUCUGGCGCAAGCCCGAGUUGUAAUUUGUAGAGGAUGCUUCUGGCCAGCGGCCGUUCUAAGUUCCUUGGAACAGGACGUCAUAGAGGGUGAGAAUCCCGUAUGUGACCGGCGCGCAGCCUUUACGUAGCUCCUUCGACGAGUCGAGUUGUUUGGGAAUGCAGCUCUAAAUGGGAGGUAAAUUUCUUCUAAAGCUAAAUACCGGCCAGAGACCGAUAGCGCACAAGUAGAGUGAUCGAAAGAUGAAAAGCACUUUGGAAAGAGAGUUAAAAAGCACGUGAAAUUGUUGAAAGGGAAGCGCUUGCAACCAGACUUCGUAGCGAUGUUCCGCUGGUCUUUUGACCGGUCUACUCAUCGUCGCGAGGCCAACAUCGUCUGGGCCCGCUGGAUAAGACCUAAGGAAUGUAGCUUCCCUCGGGAAGUGUUAUAGCCUGUGGUGAUGCAGCGUGGCUCGGGCGAGGUCCGCGCUUCGGCAAGGAUGUUGGCGUAAUGGUUGUCAGCGGCCCGUCUUGAAACACGGACCAAGGAGUCUAACAUCUAUGCGAGUGUUCGGGUGUCAAACCCCUACGCGUAAUGAAAGUGAACGGAGGUGGGAAGCGCAAGCUGCACCAUCGACCGAUCCUGAUGUCCUCGGAUGGAUUUGAGUAAGAGCAUAGCUGUUGGGACCCGAAAGAUGGUGAACUAUGCCUGAAUAGGGUGAAGCCAGAGGAAACUCUGG